rnacentral:rRNA from 1 species
AGUGAACGCUGGCGGUAGGCCUAACACAUGCAAGUCGAACGGCAGCACAGUAAGAGCUUGCUCUUACGGGUGGCGAGUGGCGGACGGGUGAGGAAUACAUCGGAAUCUACUUUUUCGUGGGGGAUAACGUAGGGAAACUUACGCUAAUACCGCAUACGACCUACGGGUGAAAGCAGGGGAUCUUCGGACCUUGCGCGAUUGAAUGAGCCGAUGUCGGAUUAGCUAGUUGGCGGGGUAAAGGCCCACCAAGGCGACGAUCCGUAGCUGGUCUGAGAGGAUGAUCAGCCACACUGGAACUGAGACACGGUCCAGACUCCUACGGGAGACAGCAGUGGGGAAUAUUGGACAAUGGGCGCAAGCCUGAUCCAGCCAUACCGCGUGGGUGAAGAAGGCCUUCGGGUUGUAAAGCCCUUUUGUUGGGAAAGAAAAGUAGCAGGUUAAUACCCCGCUGUUCUGACGGUACCCAAAGAAUAAGCACCGGCUAACUUCGUG